rnacentral:tRNA from 1 species
GCUGGAGUGGUGGAACCGGCAGACACGCUAUCUUGAGGGGGUAGUGCCCAAGCGGGCGUGCGGGUUCAAAUCCCGCCUCCAGCA